AAACAAAGCCAGAAAAUAUGCAUUUGUUUCCUGCUGCGAUAAAACAUGACGAAUAAUAGUGUUCUAAGCUAUGUGGGAUUAUGUAAAUGUACUUCAGCUUCAGAUAGAGAAGAAACUAGAAGACCAGAACAUUACAAAAGAGCCAUCCAACAUUACAGGCACAAAAGAUAUCAUCUUACUCACAAUAUCAGAAUGACCUGGUCCAUGGGGUCUGGAUUUUGCUCUUAGACGCUGUGUAGAGGCUGCACAUGAGAAAAUAGGAGUCGUAGAUGCACAGUGGAUUGUCCAUCAAGGUGUUCCUUCACUUGGAAACCAUGGGCAAGCAGGUAGUGGGGAAGCGCCAUGGGAAGGGGUGAGGGAGAUGGACUAUGUUUCAAGCACGAAUGGUUGGUGCAGAGGGAGCAUAUUUUGAAGAAAUGGGAAUUGAUCCCCCAAAUUCAACAGCACGUUAGGGGGUAGCCAAAACUAGCCAAGUGGCCAGAAGGAACUUGUAGAAUUACCACUCGAGGAGUCUAGUGUAGU